UUUUUUUUUUUUUUUGUACAUUGUGACAUUAUGAGUAACAAAAUUAAAUGUGCAUAUUGUUAUAAAAGUAAAAAAGAUAUAUAAAAAGAGGCAUUUCCGUAAAGUUGACACUCUGACUUUGUCCGUUCGAAAUUAGUAGGUGUCAUUAUUUUGCAACAUUAAACAACGUCAAUAAAAAGAAAUUACAACGUUUUUCUUAUAACAGCACAAUACAUUAAAGUACCUACAUACUUAGUUUACCAUUUUGUAAAUAAAAUAAUUCCUUCUUAAUAUGUUAUCCAAGUCUUCUUGAUCAAGAUAGUUUUAAUAUUUUACAAAUUAUGAUAGUUAAAAUGUUACAAACAAAAAUGAACAAAUAUACUUAGGAAACUCGCGGUGUAAGUUUAUUAAAUUUCUAAAAUCGUGUUGCAUAAACGAAUAUUACGGUGUUUUUCUCCUGUGAACAACUUUUCUACCAGCAAUUUUACUCCGAUUUACAAUAAUAGUCCUUUUUCUGAGAGCAAAUCUGAUUGGAGUGGUACUUUAGGGUGGUCAUCUUUUGUUUUCCAAGUACCUAGUUGAUAAAUGGGAAAAACUGGGAAAAACAUGGGAAAACAGGGAAGAAACGCAAGAAAAACGGGAAAAUAGAUACAAUGAACAUGUUUAAAGCAUAUUAUUUUACCAUAGUAUGACGUAUAU